rnacentral:piRNA from 1 species
UCCAAUUUAGGAAUUCUGUGAACAAAUCACU